ACAAAAAAACAGUAAGAGUAUGUAUGUAUAGGUGUGUGUGUGUGUGUGUGUGUGUGAGUGUGUGUUAUUAUGAUUGAAAGGCAUGCCCCAAGAGGAUGUGGCUGUGGAGAAACAAUAGGCCAGAGGCUUUAAAUGGAAAAUCAGGAAGAAAUGUUAGCGGCCAGUUCCCCACCCACCCACCUCGUCUGCCCCCUGUGUGAACCUCUACCCUCUGGUGACCAGGGCAGUCAAAUAUGUAGUGGCGGGGUCAAAAGGUCGACAGCUGACUUUAUGAUUAGAGCUGUAGGAAACAAGCACCACUUAAUGUCCCGCUAAACCUCAGCGCCAGACGCAAUUAAGCCUGGCCCGGCCCGGGACUGUCGCCAGACUUGUUUGUGAGCUAAAAGUUGAGCUCUCACACAGGAAACCAAAUGCAUAAGAAAGAUGUUCAUCACACUGAAACAAAACUAACACAAGUCUGUGGAGCUAAGGUGAGUAGCUUGUGCCUUUUCAGAGACCUGGGGAGAGGAGACCCAGAUUUUUUUUCUCAGAGGUUGGUCACUGAAACAUUACCACAUGCCCUAAUCUUAUCUUAGAAGGGUUGCAUAAGCAAAUGUGCUUUUCCCUUAUGCUAAAAGAGCUUUGUCUUCUGGAGCUGUUUACUGUGUUUGUUUGUUUUAUUGCCCAGUUUUACAGCUCCCGGGACAAGCCUGGUAAAUAAACCUGUUACAAUGAUUUAUCACAUGCACAAUAAAAAAUAAACACCCCUACACCAUUUUGUCCCUCGUACCCCGCCAGACCAUAGCUAUUUCUGCUGCCCCUGGCUACCCAUGCUGCUGUGACACCUUCAGAUCUCUUUGAAGCUGCCUCAGAUUAGGUUUUGGAACAUAGGUCCCACCCUGGAAAAUUCCUCAAAAACACAAAGGUUCCCAGUCAACAAAAGCCCUUAUAACAGGUGCAAAAACAUUCAGCAUGUGCUAAACAAAUAGCAAAGUGCGAGACUGCCAAGUUUUGUUCUCAUUUAACCAGUAAAUUUGGUUUGGCGUAGAAAAGUGAAAAGAGUGUGACAAGAAGUAAUAAGAGCCAUAGCUUAUUCAAUUCAAUUUGUAUUGUACUUUUCUACAUCAAUAACAGAAAAUGGAAUCUGGUUAGAAGAGUUACUGCUGUUCCACUUAUUCUAGCCAGGGAUGUAAUUCAGCCGUAGCUGAAGCAAUAGAGUGCAAAGAAACGGGUGCCAGAACAAGUCCAAAAAGUGGCCAACCACGGCGUGUACUGCGUAAUUAACCUAUGUGUACUAACAAACUUGACAAAUUCAUUUCUUUUCUUCUUUUUUUCUCUCUCUCUCCCUCUGUCUCCUUCUUGGUCAGUCCCAGUAGAACAUCCCAGCGGUGGUUUGACACCCUGCCAGUGACCUCCGCAGGCUUCUCCCCUCAGGAUCUCCAGAGGAACAAUGCAGUGCGCUUCAGCCUCCCAGACUAGUGUGUGCUGAAGUGUGUCUUACAGCUGAGCAUGCCAAAGCCUGGUGUCCAUGAAUAAUGGAUGAAUGGCCACAGACAACUGAAGAUUAGUUCAACAGGAAUGGCCAUCUAUCAUAAUCUAACCCCAGUGGAGUUUUUCUUAACCCAAUGGAUAAGUGGGGCGUACACUUUGCCCUCUGGACAUAAUGAAUCAGGACAGAGUACACUGUGAGUACUGGAGCUAUGACCACAU